rnacentral:rRNA from 1 species
AACCCUAAUUAAUAGACCUACGGCGUAAAACGUGUUUAAGAGACUCCCCUCGACUAAAGCCAAACUCUAGCCAUGCUGUAAAAAGCCCCGGCUAUUGUAAGCCCUGCCACGAAAGUGACUUUAAACCGUCUGAACACACGACAGCUAAGGCCCAAACUGGGAUUAGAUACCCCACUAUGCUUAGCCGUAAACUUAAAGAAUUUGCUAAAACAAAAUUCUUCGCCAGAGAACUACUAGCCAAAGCUUAAAACUCAAGGGACUUGGCGGUGCUUUAUACCCCUCUAGAGGAGCCUGUUCUAUAAUCGAUAAACCCCGAUAAACCUCACCAACCCUUGCCAACU